rnacentral:rRNA from 1 species
GACGAACCGUGCGAACGUUGUUCGGAAUCACUGGGCUUAAAGGGCGCGUAGGCGGCCCGACCAGUCAAGGGUGAAAGCCCCGGCUCAACCGGGAAGGGCCCUCGAUACUGUCGGGCUGGAGGGAGGUAGGGGCAGCGGGAACUUCCGGUGGAGCGGUGAAAUGCGUUGAUAUCGGAAGGAACGCCGGUGGCGAAAGCGCGCUGCUGGACCUCUGCUGACGCUGAGGCGCGAAAGCCAGGGGAGCGAACGGGAUUAGAAACCCUAGUAGU